AGGGUUCCGGCACGGCGGCGGUGCCGUGCUCCGGGGCCGGCUCAGCCGCUACAGCUUCAUCUCCUCUCGGUCUGAUCGAUUUUGGCCAGUUUCGAUUGAUUUCAUGCGAAAACCUACAAAAGACGAGGUUAGGUGGCCUCUAUUGGUCGAAAAAAGGGAAAAAUUGUGACUUACUAGUGGAUAAUGUUAGGACCCCGAAUUAGAAGGGAAAUAAAUUCAUAAAUUUAAUGCGAAAGUGAUUAAUAGAGUUAGAGUUUACAUUCCUUACACAAUAAUUUAGAAUGUUU
rnacentral:lncRNA from 1 species